GAUCACAGUACAUCACACACAGCACCAGCUUUCAGUGAUUGUGGUGGAACUGAAUCAUGUUUUAUGGAGAAAAUAUGUUCUGGUUAUCCUUCUAAAGUCCUCCAGCUGCUCAGCCUCAACAGUCAGCUAGCAUGUUAGCUCUGCUAGCUGACUGCUCAGAGUGUCGGUGUUCACAUCGUUAUCACAGAAGCUGUGGACCGCAGGGAGGGGGAGGAUUUCAGGUGCCGAGCCAGAAUGAGCACUAGAAACAGAACCAGGUGGGAAGAGGCAACAGAAGCAUGUUCAGCAGCCUCUAUAGACAGCAUGACGGAGGAAGCUAGGAAGAGGCAAGAGACAACUGGAGAUCUCAGAUCUGCUUUAGUUAUUUGCCAAGAGCUUUGCGGAAUAACUGGCUGCGGAGAGACAUCAAGCUGACCUUGUUGCUGUCGGACUAAGGCUGCAUACAGUCCCAGUCCAGAGAGGCCGGCCCCGUAAAAGACUCUGCCCUGGCAACCUCCUUCUGAAUCAGCCAUGGCGGUGUCAAAAAAGUGGGAAAACUGUUACCACCAACAUCUUGGCCAAAAGCGUUUGGAAAUCGAAGGUUAACUCUGCAAGAUUACUACAGUCUCUGUUCCUGACUGUUACCACUUUAAAUCUAUUUCAGCCCUUGUUGUAAAAAGUAAUGCGAAC